rnacentral:rRNA from 1 species
GAUGAACGCUGGCGGCGUGCCUAAUACAUGCAAGUCGAGCGAACGGACGCUGAGCUUGCUUCUCUCAUGUUAGCGGCGGACGGGUGAGUAACACGUGUAUAACCUACCUAUAAGACGGGUAUAACUUCGGGAAACCGGAGCUAAUACCGUAGAAUAUUUUGAACCGCGUGGUGCAAAAGUAAGAUACGGUCUUGCUGGCACUUAUAGAUGGAUCCGCGCUUCAUUAGCUAGUUGGUCAGGUAACGGCUUACCAAGGCAACGAUGCAUAGCCGACGUGAGAGAGUGAUAGGCCACACUGGAACUGAGACAGGGUCAAGACUCCUGCGGGAGGCAGCAGUCGGGAACGUUCCGCAGUAGGCGAAAGCAUGACGCAGCAACGCCGCGUGAGUGACGAAGGUCCUCGGAUCGUAAAACUCUGUUAUUAUGGAAGAACAUCUGUGUAAGUAACUGUGCAGAGCGUGACGGUACCUAAUCAGAAAGCAACGGCUAACUACGUG